AAACCAUGAUUAGGGAAAUCCCUAGUGUACUCCUUGAAACGUUCCAAUGCCUCAAAGAAUGACUCCGUAGCUCCUUGCUUGAAGCUUGAGAUUUUGUUACUCAUGGAGCUC
rnacentral:snoRNA from 1 species